UACGAAGGUCCCGAGCGUUGUUCGGAAUCACUGGGCGUAAAGGGAGCGUAGGCGGCGUGGCAAGUCAGAUGUGAAAUCCCGGGGCUCAACCCCGGAACUGCAUCCGAUACUGCCGUGCUAGAGGAUUGGAGAGGUAGCUGGAAUUCACGGUGUAGCAGUGAAAUGCGUGGAUAUCGUGAGGAACACUCGUGGCGAAAGCGAGCUACUGGACAACUCCUGACGCUGAGGCUCGAAGGCCAGGGUAGCGAAAGGG
rnacentral:rRNA from 1 species